GAAAUUCAUGUAUUUUCCUCUGGUGUCAAAAAACGGCUUAGAUAGAAAAUGUUCUGAAUGUGAUCCUGGCAUAUUUGCGACCUUGCUUUGAAAGCACCCUGUGGUUUGUUUGGAGACAGGAACACUCAUUGUUUCCUAUGAAUUCAACCCACCUAAUCUAGAGCAAUUUCAUAUUGACUUCAGAGAAAGACAGCUGAAUGGCAAGGCCUGUAUUUUACGGCAGGUUGAAGAUGUUUUAAAGUCAGACUGCUGGAACCUUCAGCAGAAUGUUGGCAGAAAAGAGUCUGGGACAAUAUGAAGUUGAGGUGGAAGAUGGCGGAAAGCAUUUACAGUUGGAAUAAGUAGGAGCUCUGCAGGGGUUGGUGAAGUUAUGAGAAUGGGAAAGCUUGGGACUGGGCAGAAAGAAUCCAACCUUCCCUGCUGCAGUGGAAUCCAAGCGGCUUCCAAGAUGAUCAGAUCUGAGAAUGGCAAAGCAUUUGCCAAUCUGAUGAUUUCUUAACAUGGAAUAACCAUCCAAGGGAACCUCCCUCACGCUAUCAUGACUCUCCAUCUAAUCAAUGAGAUAAGGAGUGGAAAGUCCAUAUUGCAUCUACAGAAGCGAUGAGAUGAGGAACCCAGUGUCCUUCAGAUGUUGCUGGAUUACAGCUCCCGUCGUCUGGACCAUUGGUCAUGCUGGCUGUGGCUGUUGGGAGUUGGAGCCCAGCAACAUAUGGAGGGCUGCAGGCUCCCUGUCCCUAAUCUACAGUGCAUUCAAACAACCUAAUCCAGAAUAGUUCCCUCCUGACAUCAGAGAAAGGCCUGUGUGCCUUGCCAUGGGGCCCUAUUGCCAUAAGCUGCAUAGAGAACUCCUGGCAGAGUGAGCAGGAAGAGGUCCGAAGGAGGGGCCCAGCCGUCUGCAAUGGGAGGGGGUUGAAACCAGAGAAGACAUCAGUAGUUUGUCCAGUGCCGGCUGUGAGAGAUGAGAUGGUGUCUGAAAGUGAACCUCCCAUCGCCACAUCAUCUCCGCCACCCACCCCUGAGCUGUCUCCUGACUGAAUUCUGAUUUUAUAGUUUUAACUCAUUUUGAGCUUCAUUUCAUUGAGUCUCUUGUACGCUGCUCAGAGACAACUGUAGUUAAGUGGUAUACAAACUGGCAAAACAAAAUAAACAAACUGAUAAACUGAUAAACUGAUUAUUUAUUAUUUUAAA